rnacentral:rRNA from 1 species
UUUAACCUACGGGGCGCAGCAGUGGGGAAUAUUGCACAAUGGGGGAAACCCUGAUGCAGCGACGCCGCGUGAAGGAUGAAGUAUUUCGGUAUGUAAACUUCUAUCAGCAGGGAAGAAAAUGACGGUACCUGACUAAGAAGCCCCGGCUAACUACGUGCCAGCAGCCGCGGUAAUACGUAGGGGGCAAGCGUUAUUCGGAUUUACUGGGUGUAAAGGGAGCGUAGACGGCCAUUCAAGCCAGAUGUGAAAGCCCGGGGCUCAACCCCGGGACUGCAUUUGGAACUGUGUGGCUAGAGAGUCG